GCUCCAAUAGCGUAUAUUAAAGUUGUUGCAGUUAAAAGGCUCGUAGUCGAACAUCUGGCUGGUUAGUCUGGCCAUCUCUUUGAGGUGCGCGCCGGACUGGCUGGUCAUCCUUCUGGAGAGCUCUUCUGCCUUCACUGGGUUGGGGGAGGGAUCCAGAUCCUUUACUGUGAGAAAAACAGAGUGUUCAAAGCAGGCUUUAU
rnacentral:rRNA from 1 species